rnacentral:rRNA from 1 species
CACGUAGGGGACGAGCGUUGUCCGGAUUCAUUGGGCGUAAAGCGCGCGUAGGCGGCUCGGAAAGUCGGUCGUGAAAUGCCGGGGCUCAACCCCGGGACUGCGUCCGAUACUCCCGAGCUGGAGGUAGGUAGGGGAGAUCGGAAUUCCUGGUGUAGCGGUGAAAUGCGCAGAUAUCAGGAGGAACACCGAUGGCGAAGGCAGGUCUCUGGGCCACUACUGACGCUGAGAAGCGAAAGCAUGGGGAGCGAACAGG